CCCAUCGAAAUGGGUGACUGAAUUGAAUAUUAUUUUCAUAGUUUGAUAAAUAAUUAUGAAACUACGUAAUUAUUUAUCAAGUCUUAUAAAUCCAUUUAUAUAACUUAGAAAAUAAUCGGCAAUCUCCGUACUCCUUCGUUGAGUCGGCCAAUUGGCCAAUCAAAUCCCUCAUUACAUAUAGCGGUGUUUUACCUUUCAUGGCCGCUAUUGUAAACAUAAAAUGACGAGAAUAAGUUUUAUGCAUGUUUUAGUUAUCCUAGCGUCAAUUUACUUUGCUAAGGUCACCGCUCCCCCUCCACCCACCGACCGGGGUAGUUCUUUUCACAAUUUCUUGCGAGUUUGCCGAAAUAUCAUGUCAGAUGUUGUGAGGAGUCUUGAUUCUUCGGUGGAUCAUGUCGCAAUGCAGCAUAGGCUACAGGCAGUUGCCAACAACUUAGUUCGUACUACCAUUGAUCAUGAUGAAUGUGCCGAAAUAUUGGACUUGGUUCAAACCAUGAUGCAGGAUUUACAUCUGGAGAGGCAAGUAUUGCAUUUUUGUAUGUUUAUGUUGGCCUGUAGGCCAUACAUAGGCCUAGGCCUUGAGCCCUAGGCUAGAGGCCUACUUAUAUAGGAAUUAUAGGACAGAACAUGUACUAUUAUAUUAAAAAGAAGCAGAUAAAUCUUUGUCAUAUUACCGAAUGCGUAUUGCCCCUUCGCUAUCCCGUUCCGCCGAGAAAUCCCCCAAGAACAUUCUCGCUCGCGUAUGCCAAUGGGCUCGGUGGAACUUGAUAGCGAAAACUCACUAUUGACUAUUGAGGUUGCUGAUGCUCAUGUUUUAUUCAUUUUCAGGGUAUCUGGAGACGAAGUGGAUGGUUUUCAAACACAGCGUGCAAGUAAUAGGAAUGUUGGGCCUUCGUCUUAUGCAAUCACAAGGCAGCAGUUGGAGUAUCUGUUUGACCUGGAUUUCUCUGUUCCACUAAUUGCAUCGAUGCUGCAUGUGUCCAUCGAUGCUGCAUGUGUCCAUAUCAACAAUACGUCGGCGACUUCGGUUUUUUCAACUGUCUUACAGACAACGACGUACUACAAUGGCAGACCAUGAACUGGAUAAUAUAGUUCGUCCUAUGUGCCGUAGUAAUAGGCACCUUGGUUACAGAUCAGUCAAUGCACGGUUGGUGAGCGAUGGGGUAUACACUACGAGGCAACGGGUCAGAGAAAGCAUGCUAAGGGUCGAUCCAUCCUCUUUGGCUCUCCGCUGGUGUCGUACAGUACAAAGAAGGACUUACAAAGUGUCUGGGCCUAAUAGUCUUUGGCAUAUCGAUGGAAAUCACAAAUUGAUCAGGUGGGGUUUUGUGUUUCACGGUGGCAUCGAUGGAUUUAGUCGAUUGAUAGUUUUUCUUACCGUUUCUUGUGACAACCGAGCAGAAACCGUUUUUUCAUCAUUUCUGCAAGCAACAGCCAGGUUCGGAACCCCCUCACGUGUAAGGGCAGACUGUGGGAGUGAAAAUAAUGAAGUUGAAAAUUAUAUGAAUAUUUAUCGUGGAAGUUUGAUUCGAGGAGAUCAGUGCACAAUCAACGCAUUGAGCGGUUUUGGCUCGAUUUGUACUUCGGAUGCACUAAUGUAUACUAUGACCUGUUCUAUUACUUAGAAGAUAUUGGUCUUUUAGAUGUUAACAACGAAAUGUACAGGUGGUGCUUGCAUUAUGUGUUUAGACCUCGAAUUGCUAGGUCAGUUGAAAUUUUCCAGAGGCAGUGGAACCGCCAUCGUUUGUGUUCUGCCCGUGGUAGAUCCCCUUUGCAACUAUAUGUUGAAGGUGUUUUAAGACUCCAUGGUUCUGGCAGGCAACACAUAUCCGAGUUGUUUUUUUAUCCAGGUCAUGGUGAGGACAUCAAUCAAGCACAUAUUCCAGUUUAUGGUGUAGAUUGGAAUGGUCCUACACCUCUGGUGAAUGACAAUGACACCCGCUUGAAUGAUAUUCCUUGCCCAUUGAGUGAUGAUCAAUUGGAGCAGUUACAAGCUACCGUGUUGCCUUUAAGUGAAUCUGUUGAUGGUCGUGCAAUAGACUUGUAUUUACACACCCUUCGUUUUGUUGGCUCAGCUGACGAUGGUCAGCAAAGCUAAUCAAAUUAUUACACAACAGGUUGAGCAUGCUAAUUGAAUCCUCUCAACUGUGACAGCUUUACCUAUAUCUUUAAAAUGUGGCACAUCAUUGGUGACACUGAUCCUGCCUGGGCUGAAGACUGGCAUGUGAUUUGAAUGGCCCAGUCACAGAUGAUUGCCUGGGUCUUUUUUAUACGCCCACAUUUUCACGUAUUAUGCCGUCGCCCCUGUCCGUCCGGACGUCUGUCUGUCUGUCCGUCCAUCCGUCCGUCCGUCCACAAUUAUUUGUGGACUCUCUACAGGUCACAAUUCUUAUCCGAUUUUGACGAAACUUGAAAUAUAGGUUUAUCCCCAAAAGAUCUCGGCUGCUUUCGAUAUUGGCAUGUAUCGGAUCGAAACUUCAUGGAUUAUGGCCCCUGAUUGUACGAAAAAUCACGUUUUUAGCUUGUGGACCCUAUAGAGGUCACAAUUUUUAUCCGAUUUUGUUGAAACUUGAAAUGUAAGUUUAUAACCCAAAGAUCUCGGUUCCUUUCGAUAUUCGCGUAUAUCGGACCCUAACUUCCUGAAUUAUAGCCCCUGAUUGUACGAAAAAACACGUUUUUAGUUUGUGGACCCUAUAGAGGUCAUAAUUUUUAUCCGAUUUAAAAAAAACGUAUUAUUAUAUCACCGUUACACCCUAAGGACGACUGAGUUCGAAUUUCGUGAAAAUUGGCCCAAAACUGACAGACAAAAUGGCCGCCCCUUGUUCUCAAAUAGCGUAAAAAUAUGGUAUAUCAAGGUUGUGGACCCUAUAGAGGUCACAAUUUUUAUCCGAUUGAAACUUGAAGUGUAAGUUUAUAACUCAAAGAUCUUGGUUCCUUUCGAUAUUUGCGCAUAUCGAAUUAUAAUUUCCUGAAUUAUGGCCCUUGAUUGUAGGAAAUCCAUCUCUCGAAAAUGUGGGCGUAUACUGCCUGGCAGCCGCUGGUUUAUUCUGAUUUCACCAUACAAAAUCCUAUUUUCUACUGGUGAAGAUUUUUUUUGAAAAAAGCAAUUCAUAUUGAAAUUAUUCAACUUUAAAAUCUACACUGUAUGUUUUAACACCCUGUACAAUUAUCAACCUCCCUCCUUGCAGGUAAGCUAAAUAUCUGGACCAAGUGACCAAUGAAUAUGUAUAGAACCGAUUUGCCUCCAGGUUUUGUGGGGAUGUUGUUGAUUCAAAUUAUAUUUUGACGUUUGAAGUUGCGCUAGGUAUUUUCGGGAAGGUAAUCCAGCAUGGCGUCCCUGUGGGUGUCAUUCCUGCGGGUUAAUUCCUGCAGUUUAGGAUGACGUUAGAAAGAAUAUUGUUGCCUCUGUGACAGAUAUAUGUAUUGAUUUGGAUGUCCAGACUGGUGUGAAGUGAACAUGUGAGUUUUGAUGAGGUUUUAGCUGUGAUAAGAGACUAAUAUGAACACAGGACCCAUGCUGGACUGGGGACGGUUUAGUUCUGGAAUCUAUCGGCAGGUGGCAGUAGCUGACGGCUAGAGUAUUAUGUCAUACUCAUAGUAUAAGUGGUCUGACUAGCUUCCUCUAGACUAAUUUAGCCAAGGUUCAGAGCAUUUAGUAAGUCAGUAAGGAAUUAAUUACUGUGUUAGAUACGAUAUGGGAUGUGAUAAGGUCCAGAUGUAAAACAACUUUGACAAUUUUAUUGUUCAUGUACAAAUGUACUGUAUGCUUUCGAAUAGGGCAGAGAAUACCUAAAUAUCUAUAGGCUGUUUCCAGUUUGUUGAGUCUAGGGAUUUUGACUUUUGGGAAUUCGAUGCAGCCUGCGAGAUACUCGAUGUGGUGGUUGGUGAUUAACCCUCUUUGGGCUGUUAGUACCGUUGUUUAUGUAUACUCUGUUUCACUUUGUACACUUGGUAACAUGCUGUGUUACAAAAUAAUUGUACAUGUAAGGCUUAUGCCACUUUGAUAAAUAAACCUAAUUUGUUUA